rnacentral:lncRNA from 1 species
GGGGACCUUGGUUGGCUUAAAAAAAAUUUGAAAAACAAAACUUACCAGAAGCGAGAUUUUCUGGUGUGGCGGCUCUGCCGGCUCACUUUCGCGGCUGAGUGUUUUUCUUCAGUCAAAAUAUAGAAAAUAAAAUGAUGAACACAAUGGUAGAAAUAUCGCACGAAUGGAAAAUGAGAAGGGACUCAUCGGAGGCGAUUUUUUAUUUUUUCAGCGGCGGCGCCGCUGGCCUUUACCCGCGGUUUCUGGAUCAUCCGCCAUUCAUUUUGCUCUAAUUUGGCCAUGAGGUAUUCAAGAUAAAAUUCUGAGUCAAUAGGAGAAUUUUUACCUUUUUUGGCAAUCAAAUGUGACUCCGGCGCGGCGGCAGUCAGCUCCAUUCUCCAGCGACUGGUUCUUCAUCUCCAGCGU